UACGUAGGGUGCGAGCGUUAAUCGGAAUUACUGGGCGUAAAGCGUGCGCAGGCGGUUCGUUGUGUCGGCGGUGAAAGCCCCGGGCUUAACCUGGGAAUGGCCGUUGAAACUGGCGAACUGGAGUGUGGCAGAGGGGGGUGGAAUUCCGCGUGUAGCAGUGAAAUGCGUAGAGAUGCGGAGGAACACCGAUGGCGAAGGCAGCCCCCUGGGCUGACACUGACGCUCAGGCACGAAAGCCAGGGGAGCAAACGGG
rnacentral:rRNA from 1 species